CCUACGGGAGGCUGCAGUGAGGAAUAUUGGUCAAUGGACGGAAGUCUGAACCAGCCAUGCCGCGUGCAGGAAGACGGCUCUAUGAGUUGUAAACUGCUUUUGUACAAGGGUAAACCUGAAUACGUGUAUUCAGCUGAAAGUACUGUACGAAUAAGGAUCGGCUAACUCCGUGCCAGCAGCCGCGGUAAUACGUAGGGGGCAAGCGUUAUCCGGAUUUACUGGGUGUAAAGGGUGCGUAGGCGGAAUAUCAAGUCAGCGGUAAAAAUUCGGGGCUCAACCCCGUCGUGCCGUUGAAACUGAUGUUCUUGAGUGGGCGAGAAGUAUGCGGAAUGCGUGGUGUAGCGGUGAAAUGCAUAGAUAUCACGCAGAACUCCGAUUGCGAAGGCAGCAUACCGGCGCCCAACUGACGCUGAAGCACGAAAGCGUGGGUAUCGAACAGGAUUAGAUACCCUGGUAGUC
rnacentral:rRNA from 1 species